AAAAAAAGUGAAGGAGGCUAUGGGGGUGACACUUGGAUUGUGUUGGUAGGAUGCUGUCCUUAGUAGAACAGAUAGCUACUUUUGUUACUUAUUUGACCCCUUUUGCAUUAAUUCUUUGAUUUCACCUGACACUAAGUCUAUAAUCUCUAUAUGCCUGUAGGAUCACCUUUCAGUGGAUCCAAGUGGACAUUCCUUUUGUUCUUCCUCAGUUAUGACUUACUCCAGAAUAGGAGAUGAGCCACCAAAGGUUGUCCAGGCCUCAACUUAAACCCGUAGGGCUCCAGGAGGAGAAACCAGGAAAGCAGUGAGAGAUUCUUACGGUGUACUAGAAAAAAUGGCUGUUGGUCAUCAUAUCCAUGACUAAGGUCAUGUUAUUAAAAAGUCGAGGAACGAGAAGACUGGAGAUGAAGAGGUCAAUCAAGAGUUUAUCAAUAUGAGUGAAAGUGAUGCUCAUGCAUUUGACGAUGAGUGGCAAAGUGAGAUUCUGAAAUACAAACAAGGGAGACGAUGGCACAAUCUAGAAAACGCUAGAAUGCAAAGUGUCGGUCAGGAGAAUUCUGAAACCAGAGAACUCAAAAGAAGGACAUGCAGAACCUACAAUCCAUUCUCGUUGGGGGUCCGGUCCUUCUUCGUGAACAUCAGAGAGUGAUGGGUGAAUACAGAGACUGCACAUUGUCUAUGGAGCCUCUAUCCCCAAAGAUCUUGCUUACAUUGCGCCCAACCCAGACCUUCUCCCUGGGAGCAGAGAUAGUUAGGUUGGGUGUCACAACCUUAGUUUGCCCAUAGAGUGGAAUACAGCUGGAGUUGUCAUCCCGACUGGAUGCUUGGUGGGAUCCAUAUUAGCUGGUUUCCCAUACAUUCAUUGGGACACUUUUUGGUCCAUUUGUUCUGCCACACCCCACUGUGCUACGGCCAUUUACCCCACUGGAUUAUGGCCUCUUCCAAUGGCUGUAUUGGAUUGUGGUAUUUUUAGAAUCACUAGAGCCUUCAUAUCAUUUGAGAUGUGAAAUUCGAUGGCUAUCUGCUCCCAGAUUAAAGGUUGAUAAGUUUAGGCUAUUAACAAAUCCACAACCAGCUUGUAAAUGUACUCAUAAUGUUUAUGUUCCUCUCACUAGCCCGAGGUCAUUAAAGGAUUUGGCCAUUAAAGUUUCAUUACAACCUGCUAGGGGUAAAAUAGAAUUAGAACUAAUGGGUCAAGACUACCAUCACUGGCAUAAAAAAUGCCAAAACUGACCAAGCACCUAUGCCCAUAAGUUUAAAGAAUGUUUCUUUCUAGGAUCCUCCUUGCCCCAGUUCAGCAGGAAGCAGUUUCUGAGGGCGACGCCCAUAAUCCCCAAGAUUGGGCAUUAAUAGUUGCUUCAGAAGGGGGAAAUGAGGAGCCAAAGUUUCUCCAUUUUUGCUAAGGCCAAAGUCCUUCCAUUUCAACUAAUUUAGAAUAAACUUCAGUUACACCACUCUCCCCCUCCCUAACCAUUAUUUAGAUUGUUCAAUUACAUAAACGGGAAAUAGAUGAAUAAGACCCAUUCCCCUCUGCAGAAGCCACAUGGUCUGUUAAAACAAAGAAACAGGAUGUUCUGCUAAGAUAAGAACGGGCUGUAGUGACCAGUUGAGUAAGGCAAAUUCCAUUCCACAGAACUCAUCUGCAAACAUACUAACCAAUAAGUUUAAAGUAUAGUUAUAUAUGUGCACCAAUAGAAUGUUAGAGAUAUAGACCAAUAGAAAUAGUAGAAAUAGUAAAGAAAAUAGCCAAUAAGAAAGUUAAGAUUUUCAAGCCACCUUAACCCUAUAUAACCCUGUUGUAAUCACUAUUCUGGGCUCUUGCUUCCCUGAUGGACAAGAGUCCAGGUUCAAACCUGAAAUAA